rnacentral:rRNA from 1 species
GUUGUAUAGUCAAGUAAUUAAGUGCAUGUGGUGGAUGCCUUGGCAGUCAGAGGCGAUGAAAGACGUGAUAGCCUGCGAAAAGCUCCGGGGAGGCGGCAAAUAUCCUUUGAUCCGGAGAUGUCUGAAUGGGGGAACCCACCUACUUUAAGGUAGGUAUUGCAACAUGAAUACAUAGUGUUGCAAGGCGAACGAGGGGAAGUGAAACAUCUCAGUACC